CAAGUCGAGCGAGAAAGUGUAGCAAUACAUGAGUAAAGCGGCGCACGGGUGAGUAACACGUGGAUAACCUGCCUCAAAGUGGGGAAUAACACCGGGAAACCGGUGCUAAUACCGCAUAUUCUGACGAGAUCUGCGGAUUUUGUCAGGAAAGGAGCAAUUCGCUAUGAGAGGGGUCCGCGGCUGAUUAGCUAGUUGGUGAGGUAAUGGCUCACCAAGGCUUCGAUCAGUAGCCGGUCUGAGAGGACGGUCGGCCACACUGGAACUGAGACACGGUCCAGACUCCUACGGGAGGCAGCAGUGGGGAAUUUUUCGCAAUGGGGGAAACCCUGACGAAGCAAUGCCGCGUGGAUGAUGAAGUAUCUCGGUACGUAAAAUCCUUUCGACGGGGACGAAACCGCAAGGUUGACGGUACCCGUAGAAGAAGCCCCGGCUAACUCCGUGCCAGCAGCCGCGGUAAUACGGGGGGGGCAAGCGUUGUUCGGAAUUACUGGGCGUAAAGGGUGCGUAGGCGGCUUUCUAAGUCGGAUGUGAAAACUCUGGGCUCAACCCAGAGCCUGCAUCUGAAACUGGAGAGCUAGGGUUCUGGAGGGGAAAGCGGAAUUCCUGGUGUAGCGGUGAAAUGCGUAGAUAUCAGGAGGAACACCGGUGGCGAAGGCGGCUUUCUGGACAGAUACCGACGCUGAGGCACGAAAGCUAGGGGAGCAAACAGGAUUAGAUACCCUGGUAGUCCUAGCCCUAAACGAUGGAUACUUGCUGUGGGGGGGGAUUGAAGCCCCUUGUGGCGAAGCUAACGCAUUAAGUAUCCCGCCUGGGGAGUACGGUC
rnacentral:rRNA from 1 species